UCUAAUCCGACUGCCGGAGCCCAUCCGCAGCAGAGCUGAAUGGCGGACGGAUUCUGUGGAAUCGCACACAUUGAUUAUAAUGCUUGAAUACUUGAUCCGCCUGCCGUGCCGGAGCGCAGCCGUUCCGGAUCCUGUGGGUUUUGCCCAUAACAGUAAAAGCUCUCUUAAUGUUUUAUUUAUUAGCACUUCUGUUUUGUUUUUGUGAAAUUGAAUAAGUGGUUUUAUGUUGUUCUGCCCAAAGUCUAACGGUGAACACAGUGCUAUGGUUUUUGUAAGAGAAAAUACUGCGUAAUGUGUUGUUUACAACUGGUAUAGCUAACAACAACUAGCAACAACUGACAACAGCAAACAACAGCUGACAACAGCUAACAACGGCUAACAGUAGGCAUCCAUCUUGGUUUUGUGACUUGUUAACUGGAACACCGUCAACUUGAUGGUAACGUCAUUCCCAGCUGCAACAUCCAACUUCCUACUUUAUUUAGCGAAAGCCCCAAGUGGCCACUCAAGGUACUGCAGUUUUUGGCACCUCUGCUCUUGUACGUCAAUAUUUAUGUAAAUAAGAGCAGAAAUUGUUCAAUUUAGAAACCUUCCAUCUCGACAGUGUUUCAACCGUCUGUUUUGCACAUGCAGCUGUGAAAUAUGCCAACGUUUACAUGCCACAAGUACCAGUGGAAAGAGCCACCUUGUAAAUAUUUAAGGGGGACUGUUAAUUGUAAUAUGCUUUACAGAGAGAUGUGAUUUAACUGCCAGUAUCGCUGUCUCGCCGUCUAACGACAUCUCUGCCUAUCUGGCCAGCGGUCUGUGCGUCUCACUCUCUGCGAGACGGAGCAGCCUGACACAGCCCUGUUAAAGUUAAUAGCUCUCCACAAGCACAGAAGCCCAGACAGGCCAACACCAAUAAAACUCAAGCAAAUUAUAUCAGAGAGAAAGAGGCACCGAGGAGUCAUUUUGUUAUUGGGUUCAGCAUUCCUCAGCGUAGGAGCAGGACUAUUGCGUCACGCAGGAAUAACUUUGGAGCGGCGUAAAACUGAUGUCGGCGGCGGGCUUGAAUAUUCACACUGAGUCUUGGCAUGGCGGAGACAUUGUGGAGGCCUGGUGAGAGGGUGAAAAGUGUCCUGGCAAAGCUCCUGUCCUCUUAGCCUCUGUCAUACACCGUGAGCUGUGGCCGACUGCCACGGUUAGACAUCUGGACGCUUACUUCCCUCUGAAAUACAGUAACUAACACUCAGCAGAACGCCGAGGUGAAAACAGCAUCACAGUUACCGUAACAGAGGAUUUUUCAUUAAUGAUGAAAAUAGCUGUACUCAACACAUUUCUAACACCGCCGCGGUUACAGUGAAAGCUGAGAACGUGUGGAAACCUCUAACUGAAAACAGACUCGGAGAAGUUUGAGCAUCUUGUGAGAAAAUUUUUGCUCAUUUUUAAUUUUGUGUUAAUAAAAAUGAUGAUGAUGGAGAAAACGAGAAAACACCUGAAGGAACAUCUCUGUAUAAUUUCAUUAACUUGCAUUAGGACAGUGACAUAACAGGGCAAAAAAAGGGAACUCUAGAGAAGUUGAAGCCCAAAAACCAACAGGAUGCAUGUUAGACGCGUUCUGUCAGCGCCACACGCUACGCAGAAAAUACAGUCCCAUUCUAAAUCAACCUUGCAUCGCACAGAACAAUCCCAGUCUAUCCCUGCUCCACGUGGACCACAACCGGACUUUUAACUGCGAACUACAGCAAAGCAAAGUGGGACACAUUUGUCUUUACUAAACACGAGUAAACCUGCAAAAUUAGGAACUUUAAAGUCAUGUUGUUUGUUUGUUCACAUACAGAAGAAGCUCAACAGUCACAGAAUAAAAUCCAGAUUAGCAGGAAAUUGACCACAGAAAGGUAAAAUGACCUGUUGUUAGCAUGUUGUUUUCCGUUUACUGAGUCCAGCUGACUGAAGCUGCGUUACGCUGCUGCUAAGCUCCAAACACACUUCCCGAGGGCGAUGAUGCACACUGUCUGAUGCAGGAGAAUUCAUGAACUACACUUCAUAUUAUCAUUAAAAGAUUCAGAGAAUCUGCUGGAAUCUCUUUAAAAAAACAAAAACAGCAUUAACUUGUUUUUGCUGAUGGAUCAAAUGGCAGAUUUUUUCUACUGACGGUGUAGGGACCAGAUCGGCUCGGGGCCCAGCGCCGUUUAAAGACGUCACACUACGGCAAGUCUACUAAGACAAACUACAUUACGCUUCAUUUAAUAAGUCAAAUAUGGAGAAUUAUGACCUUCUGUACUGUGAUUUUAAUCGUAUAUGUAAACUUUUCUGAAGGAAAAAGAAAAAUAUAUAUACGCAGGAUCUCCGUUUAUCAAUAGAUAGUUUUGCUUUUAUUUCACAUUUCCUUUGGCGACCUCAAAGAGGCGAUAGUUCGGCUGUCGUAAAUCAUCUUUGAUAAGCAGCGAUAGAUUUCUUCGUAAAAUUAAUCCAUGUUUUCUCCUAAGAACUACAAUCACAUUAAACCGCUUCCGUAAUGUCCGGACUAACCAUAAUCUUCUACGUCAUCCGAACCAACAACCAACCAAUGAAAAAAGUUCUCUUUAGUUAUGUGUGAGUGUGCAUGAUGGAGAGCUUGGUGGUGGUCCCGGUCUGGAACAUUUGGCCCCUGCAGGGUUGAAGUGAAGCCGGAUUGCGAGAAGACAGUGAUGAGCGUAUCCUAAACUCUAACAUCAACUCAACUUUCUAUGAAUCGUUGUGAUCCAGAAGAAAAGUCAAACAUUAAAACAGGCGACCACAACACUUCUUUGUACGACUGCAAAUGAGACGGAUGGAGAGUCAAUGAGAAGAGGUUCAUAUUGGACUGUCUGGACUGGUCGGACUGGGACCAACAUUAGUCAGUGAUGGGACAAAUAUCACUGUGAUCCAGGAGCGUUCGAACCAUCAGAGAUAAGAGCUGAACGGUCAGAGUGGAGCUUUAUUCUGCUGACAGGACAGGGAGGCAGACUGGUUGAACUGUGGUUAACUCCACUCGGGUGGUGCUCGUUAUAAACACAUGACUUAUUCACAGCUACUAUUGGACCCCGCUCUCUGUGUAAUGGGAGCUCACUGCUCAACCAGACCCAAAUCCCCGGGCACUGCCUCUGCCAAGCAGUGUAAAUAUUUAGGGUCACCCGUCGCACAAUGGAAAAUGAAAGCCAUGACUCUGACUGAGUGUGUGUCUGAGUGUGUGACUCAGAACAUCGUGUUUGUGUGUGUCUGCAUUUGCAGGUUCUGGAUUACAGAAAGUGUUUGUAUGAAACUCGGAUUCUUCUCUUUUUAAACGGCUCGGUUCCCUCCUGAGGCCGGGGUCUCUGACAGGAGGCAGAAAAGCGUUAUCUGUGAUGUGGAGGCCGCGGCAUUCAGGGCACCACAUUAAUCACAGCUGGAGAAAAAAGCCUCUGUGCUCAACAUAAACACCAUCCUGCAGAGACAGAACUGAGCCAGACCAGAGGAGCAGGACUCGCC